CUACGGAGGGUCCAAGCGUUAUCCGGAUUCAUUGGGUUUAAAGGGUUCGUAGGCGGAUAAAUAAGUCAGUGGUGAAAUCCCGAAGCUCAACUUCGGAACUGCCAUUGAAACUGUUUAUCUUGAAUUUAGUUGAAGUGGGCGGAAUAUGACAUGUAGCGGUGAAAUGCAUAGAUAUGUCAUGGAACACCAAUAGUGAAGACAGCUCACUAAGCUAAUAUUGACGCUGAUGAACGAAAGCAUGGGUAGUGAACAGGAUUAGAAACCCUAGUAGUCC
rnacentral:rRNA from 1 species